AUUGAACGCUGGCGGCAGGCUUAACACAUGCAAGUCGAGCGGGGGAAGGUAGCUUGCUACCGGACCUAGCGGCGGACGGGUGAGUAAUGCUUCGGAAUCUGCCUAUUAGUGGGGGACAACAUCUCGAAAGGGAUGCUAAUACCGCAUACGUCCUACGGGAGAAAGCAGGGGAUCUUCGGACCUUGCGCUAAGAGAUGAGCCUAAGGCAGAUUAGCUAGUUGGUGGGGUAAAGGCCUACCAAGGCGACGAGCUGUAGCGGGUCUGAGAGGAUGAUCCGCCACACUGGGACUGAGACACGGCCCAGACUCCUACGGGAGGCAGCAGUGGGGAAUAUUGGACAAUGGGGGGAACCCUGAUCCAGCCAUGCCGCGUGUGUGAAGAAGGCCUUAUGGUUGUAAAGCACUUUAAGCGAGGAGGAGGCUACUUUAGUUAAUACCUAGAGAUAGUGGACGUUACUCGCAGAAUAAGCACCGGCUAACUCUGUGCCAGCCGCCGCCGUAA
rnacentral:rRNA from 1 species